rnacentral:misc_RNA from 1 species
GUGAGUCAUCGAAUCUUUGAACGCACAUUGCGCCCGCCAGUAUUCUGGCGGGCAUGCCUGUUCGAGCGUCAUUUCAACCAUCAAGCCCCCGGCUUGUGUUGGGGACCUGCGGCUGCCGCAGGCCCUGAAAACCAGUGGCGGGCUCGCUGUCACCCCGAGCGUAGUAGUUACAUCUCGCUCUGGGCGUGCUGCGGGUUCCGGCCGUUAAAAAGCCUUAUUUACCCAAGGUUGACCUCGGAUCAGGUAGGAAGACCCGCUGAACUUAAGCAUAUCAAUAAGCGGAGGA